CUCACAGCAAAUAAUAAAGAAAACAGUACUUUGGUCCAAUAAAAUAAAUGAAAUAAAAGAUGAAACACAAAACAUGCCCCAAAAAUGACUGAUUAAAGAGCAAUAAGAAAGGAAAGAGAAAGCAGAAGGGGAAGACCAUCCAUGAUCCAGCGAGAACAGAAACUCUGACCAUCUGCUUAGUUUCCUUUCUUCACCCAAAGCUUUAUGAAGUGUUUGCAUAUCAUGCUGACUUUCUACCACAUCGUUUUCGAGGCUGAGUGUGGGGUCUCGUGCUUGAAGCCGCGUCUAAGAAGAUGUCUUAGAUGUCUGCACAUCUAAGAAGAGGUCUAUGCUCUUCAAUGAAGUUUGGAAGACCUUUGGAAGUUUUGUCUAAAUUUCUUCAAUUUCAAGGAAAUAAGGGGGAUGUGCAUUUCAUGAAGUUCAUGGAAUAUGGCUUUAACAAUGGCAUCAGCAGCGUGAUGGAUGAGGCAUUGUUUUGAAGCAAUAAUGGCUUUCCUAGUGCCUCAGAAGUAGCAGUAUGUCCAGACAUGGAGUGUCUGCUCGUGAGGUGAG
rnacentral:lncRNA from 1 species